rnacentral:tRNA from 1 species
GGAGGCGUCGCAUAGUGGUCUAGUGCACCACCUUGGAAAGGUGGCAUGGGAGAAAUUCCAUCGAGAGUUCGAAUCUCUCCGCCUCCG